UUGACACAUGCAAGUCGAGCGGGAACGUCCCUUCGGGGAACCAGUACAGCGGCAGACGGGUGAGUAACGCGUGAUCAAUCUGCCCUUGGGAGAGGAAUAGCCAUUCGAAAGAGUGAGUAAUACCUCAUAAGACUACAGCAUCGCAUGGUGCAGUGGUAAAAAGGUUGGGAUCUUCGGACCUUCCGCCCAGGGAUGAGAUCGCGUCCUAUUAGCUUGUUGGUGAGGUAACGGCUCACCAAGGCAGCGAUGGGUAGCCGGCCUUAGCGGGUGGACGGCCACACUGGAACUGAGACACGGUCCAGACUCCUACGGGAGGCUGCAGUGCUGAAUUAUUCGCCAAUGCGCGAAAGCGUGACGGUGCGACGCCGCGUGCGGGACGAAGGCCUUAGGGUCGUAAACCGCUGUCAGGGCUUCGGAAACCGUAGAGGUUAAUAGCCUCUGCGCUGACCAGGCCCAAAGGAAGCACAGGCUAAUCUCGUGCCAGCAGCCGCGGUAAUACGAGAUGUGCGAGCGUUGUUCGGAAUUACUGGGCAUAAAGGGUGCGCAGGCGGCCAUGUAAGUCAGGUGUGAAAUCCCUCGGCUCAACCGGGGAAUUGCAUCUGAUACUGCAUGGCUUGAGAACGAAAGGGGCAAGCGGAAUUCCAGGUGUAGCGGUGGAAUGCGUAGAUAUCUGGGAGAACGCCAAUGGCGAAGGCAGCUUGCUGGGUCGUUUCUGACGCUCAUGCACGAAAGCUAGGGGAGCAAACAGGAUUAGAUACCCUGGUAGUCCUAGCUGUAAACGAUGGGUACUAGGUUCCGGGAUUCCUGAUGAUUUCGGAGCCGCAGUUAAUGCGUUAAGUACCCCGCCUGGGGAGUAUGGUCGCAAGGCUAAAACUCAAAGGAAUUGACGGGGGCUCACACAAGCGGUGGAGCAUGUUGUUCAAUUCGAAGCAACGCGAAGAAC
rnacentral:rRNA from 1 species